UUUUGUGAUGCUCUUUCAAGCUGUGAUGAAAUUUUUGUCUAGACUUGUCUAGAUCAAAAUUUUAGUUAUAAGGGGAAAGGUCCAUUAAAAGGGCUGCAAUGCGCCUUAAAAACCAUCAUUCAAAAGGCUGAACUGUGCCUUUUAGUAAUCUGUUGAUGACGACUGUAAUUGGAAUCUUUAGUAGAUAGAUAGAAAAACUUUAUUUACCCACGCUAACCCUGUCAACCGAAGCUGAUUUCCACAGGGGGCGUGUAAAGUAAUAAAAAUAUCGGUCUGCUGAACGUCGUGUAAUUUAUUACUCACAAACAGUUCGUUAUUCAAAAUGAAAAUGACAUAAGGGACGGUCCAUUAGAAAAGUGACAGGGCGGGAAGAACAGAAAAAAUCCAUACAAGAAAAGACUUUUUCUGAGAAAAGUACAUACACCCAGAAGGUGGCAGAAAAAUAUAUCACGACAUACAUGAAAAAAAUGCUCACCAAGUGAACCGCAGAAAAAUCCAUGCAUGACAAAAACUUUCCCAACUCCACCCCCCCCCCC